ACAAUAUUUGUUUUCCCAAAAUAGAUUCGUCCUCUGCUACUCUGACGGUGGUACUUGCAAUAAUUGGAGUCGGAAUUCUGAUAUUUGUAGCGUUUGUUGUGAUAAAAUGUCGGCGCCGAAAAUACGAAAUCACAGGCAAUAAAAAUCAAAAAAAUCACGAUGAACAAGAGGAUUUUUUGAAGAAUGGAAGACCAGAAUUAUUGACAGUAUUAACAAACACUGAAGAUAAUAAACAAGAUGGAGAAUCACGGGACAUUGCAAAACCUUCUGACAGCUACUCGGAUGUUUGAAGCAGCAGUAUUAUUUGGAGAUUGCAAUAAUGAAUCCAAACAUGCUGUGUGUUCUUUUGGAAAUCCAGUUAUCAAUACUUCUGACAUUUGUAAUUAUAUUUCAAAUGACGGAAUGUUGCUAUUAUUUACUUCAGUAAGGUAAUAGUGCAGUGUGGAUAUCUGCAGUGUUUUCCUGAUUUGUCAAAUAACAAAAUAAUAAUUUAUGAAUUUCGGAUACUUUUUAAGGAUACAAGAACUACCGCUUUACUUAAAAUUAUCAAUAUGGAAAGACAAGAAUUCAAUCAGUGAUGAUUGCAAAGACACAUAUAAAUGUUGAUUACCAUAUGUUUGUUGCUGUCACCGAAAAAGCAAAGUGACAUCUAUUGCAGAUAAGUAAAAUUUAAAGCCUGACAAAUAUUAACAGAAUUCUCAUAUUCGUAAAGACCGCCAUCCUGAAGAAGAGCCAUGUAGAAAUAGGGUCUCAGUAUAAUAAAUAUUCCUUAGCUACUUUUAUUAAUAAUAUACGAAACUCUUGUCAUCUUCACAUCAAAACUCGUCCACGCAUGGCAUCGAAAUUAUCAUGAUUGUGCAAUUUAUAUUUUCAGCUGAUUUUAAUAUUUUUUUGUAAUUUUGUAUUCAUGCAUCGUUAUAAAGUGUGCUUUGCUGUUUAAGUUAUUGAAAUUGGCAAAUAAAUGAUAAUGUUAUA